rnacentral:rRNA from 1 species
UGGCGGCGUGCUUAACACAUGCAAGUCGAACGGGAAAUAUUUUAUUGAAGCUUCGGCAGAUUUAGCUUGUUUCUAGUGGCGGACGGGUGAGUAACGCGUGGGUAACCUGCCUUAUACUGGGGGAUAACAGCCAGAAAUGACUGCUAAUACCGCAUAAGCGCACAGAACCGCAUGGUCCGGUGUGAAAAACUCCGGUGGUAUAAGAUGGACCCGCGUUGGAUUAGCUAGUUGGCAGGGCAGCGGCCUACCAAGGCGACGAUCCAUAGCCGGCCUGAGAGGGUGAACGGCCACAUUGGGACUGAGACACGGCCCAGACUCCUACGGGAGGCAGCAGUGGGGAAUAUUGCACAAUGGGGGAAACCCUGAUGCAGCGACGCCGCGUGAAGGAAGAAGUAUCUCGGUAUGUAAACUUCUAUCAGCAGGGAAGAUAAUGACGGUACCUGACUAAGAAGCCCCGGCUAACUACGUGCCAGCAGCCGCGGUAAUACGUAGGGGGCAAGCGUUAUCCGGAUUUACUGGGUGUAAAGGGAGCGUAGACGGCGCAGCAAGUCUGAUGUGAAAGGCAGGGGCUUAACCCCUGGACUGCAUUGGAAACUGCUGUACUUGAGUGCCGGAGGGGUAAGCGGAAUUCCUAGUGUAGCGGUGAAAUGCGUAGAUAUUAGGAGGAACACCAGUGGCGAAGGCGGCUUACUGGACGGUAA